UUAAAAUGUAAAAUUAUUAUCAAAGUAGUAUUAGUUAUGUUCUUUAAAUUUAAAAAAUUUGGCGGUAUUUUAGUCUAUUCAGAGGAACCUGUUCUGUAAUUGAUAGUCCACGAUAAAUUGUAUUUUAUUUAAUUAAUUUGUAUAUCGUCGUUAUUAAAUAUUUUAUAAGAAUAAUAAUAUUUAAGAAUUAUAAUAAAAAAAUAUUUCAGAUCAAGGUGCAGUUUAUAGUAAAAUAGAAAUGGGUUACAAUAAAUUUAUUUAAUAUGGAAAUUUAUAUGAAAAUAUAUUUUGAAGGUGGAUUUGAAAGUAAUAUGGUUAAUAUAAAUUGUAUGAUUUUAGCUCUAAAAUGUGU
rnacentral:rRNA from 1 species